rnacentral:rRNA from 1 species
CUACGGGUCGCUGCAGUGGGGAAUAUUGCGCAAUGGGCGAAAGCCUGACGCAGCGACGCCGUGUGAGGGAAGAAGGCCUUCGGGUCGUAAACCUCUGUCAGGAGGGAAGAAACUCAUGGGUUCGAACAGGGCCUGUGACUGACGGUACCUCCAGAGGAAGCACCGGCUAACUCCGUGCCAGCAGCCGCGGUAAUACGGAGGUGCGAGCGUUAAUCGGAAUCACUGGGCGUAAAGCGUGCGUAGGCGGCCAAGUAAGUCAGGCGUGAAAGCCCUCGGCUCAACCGGGGAAUUGCGCUUGAAACUGCAUGGCUUGAGUUCGGGAGAGGGUAGCGGAAUUCCGGGUGUAGGAGUGAAAUCCGUAGAUAUCCGGAGGAACACCGGUGGCGAAGGCGGCUACCUGGACCGAUACUGACGCUGAGGUACGAAAGCGUGGGGAGCAAACAGGAUUAGAUACCCUAGUAGUC